ACAUAUCGUCGCUGUCCGAUGAAAACCGCGUAUGUCCAUUUUUGCCGAUUUUGAGAUUUUACGAUGAUAGUUAUGUCCAGGUUCAUUUCCGUAUACAGUAUGCGUCAUGAACCUAAUUGACCAAUGAAAAGUUGUGAAACACGUCAUCUGAUUUUCAAGUAUAUCCAUUUGGUGUCAAAGCUGUCAGUCCCGCCGCGUAUCUCCCGCCCUGUGGAGUCAUCUCAUUAGCGUCUCUGGAAGCGCAUCAUCGGGUAGCCGAAUAACACUUUGAAGAUUCAGUUGAAAGUGACGGUGCAAAUACAGCUGCCAAUGAGGAUUCUCUGGAAAGUGAUAAUGACAAUCACUCUGAAAGUGCCAGUGAUGACUCACUUGAACACGAUCCUGAAAAUGACCCGGAAUACACACCUGUCAAUGAAGAUGCUGUUGAUGUUGAUGUUGCUGUUGACCGGGGAAGGUCAAGAAAGAGGGCCAACCCAGACGCUUGGAAGGGUAACAUUCAGAAAAGGAGAAGAAUGAGGGGCCAAUCAUAUCUUGGACGAAAAAAAAAUGAAUUCAUCAACAUAGAAGAAAGAAAAAUGGAGGGGCGGUGCCUGGCUGAGGCCUGCCGGAAAUCCAGCAAACUACACUGCACCGAAAUCGAUGAAGGGAAGAGGGAAAAAAUAUUCAAGUAUUUUUGGGGGAAAUUGGACUGGAAAGAAAGGAAAAUCUAUGUGAAGUCACUGGUGGAGGUGAGUGAUGUCAAGCGGCGCCGGACAGAAGCGGUUCAGUCUCGGAGGUCAGCAUCUCUCUGUUGUUUUUUAUGUGUUGAUGGUAAAAGGCUCAGAGUUUGUCAGCGGAUGUUCCUGUCGACCCUUGGCAUCAAGCAGUGGAGUGUUCUAAAAUGGGUUGGAAGAAGAGAUGAAAGUCCUGAGAAGACGGCAAGAGUGAGGGUGAGGACAGAGGAGCGGGACUUCCUAAAGUCCUUUCUUCUUGAACUGCCGAAAGUACCAUCGCACUACUGUAGGUCCUCCUCUUCCAAGAUGUACCUGGAGCCUUUAUUCAAAUCAAUCAAUCAUCUCCACUCACAAUAUAAGCAGGCAUGUGCAGCCAACGGCAUCCAGGCUCUGUCAAGACAAGUGUUCAGUAACACCUUUAAAGAAUUAAAUCUGUCAUUGUUCCAUCCAAAAAAAGAUCAGUGUGACACUUGCUGUGCCUUCAAAGCCGGGAACAUCGAGGCUGCUGUGUGGGAGGAACACUGCGUUAAGAAGGACGAGGCACGAGCAGAAAAGGAUAGGGACAAGCAACUUGCAAAUAACACCACCUUGGUUGCAUGCAUGGAUCUGCAGGGCCUUCUCCUCUGCCCAAAGCUUCAAGCGUCUGCCCUCUAUUUCAAAAUGAAGCUGAGUGUCCAUAAUUUUACCAUCUACAAUAUGGCAUCACAUGAAGCGACAAAUUACCUUUGGCAUGAGGGUGAGGGGGGGGUCUCUGCCAAUGAGUUUGCCUCCUGCAUUGUGGACUAUCUUGAAACACACCUCACUUACACUGAAUUCAUUCUUUGGAGUGAUGGGUGUGGUUAUCAAAACCGAAACCUGGUCCUGAGCAAUGCCCUCUUAAAGUUUGCCACUGAAAG
ensembl:lncRNA